CGGUUUCACAGAGCCAACAUUAUUCUCUACCUCCCCUUCCUCUUCCUCUUUCUUUAUGGAUGGCAAACAGCGUUCAGAUGACAGAUUUUGGAAAAUUGUCUUAGGAGACGCAUUCUCAGGCAGUUCCAGUGUAUUGGUAUUUUGGAUGUUUCUCUGCAUUUUGUCAUACGGUUCAGAAGGGUGAUAGGCUUUCUGUGAACUGCUGGGCUUCAAGAAGGCUAUUAUCUUCCACUCAGGUUUAAUGGAGGAAUUUAUGGGAUUUUGCCACCUUGUGAGGUUCAGUGCUAGAAUUUCUGCGUUGGAUGGAUCAAGAAUCUACGGGGAGCCAAGUCACUUAAAAGUAUCAGCCUGAGGGUAAAAGGUGAAGUGACAUCUUUACUGAGUUAUUCCCAAUAUUCCCUUCAUCUAAUGAAGUUCCUCCAAAUUUCAUGAUCCUUGUGACAAUCCACCCCAGACUAUGGUGAGAGACCCAGAGCUGCAGCAGUUUUGGUUGUGGUUAUUCUGACAUUGACCCGAAGGGAGCAAGAAUGUUUCUCAGGAGCCCUUGCCUGGACUCCCCUUCCAGACCACAACUUCCCCGGUGAUAUGGGACCCUGGAGGAGGAAGUCUACAAUGUGGGAGAGAUGAGUUACCAGGAAGAUAACCUUUGCACUCAGAAGGCUUGCGAACCCCAGAGGAGACUGUCUGUCUGAGAGAUCACCUUACCCACACUGUGGAAUAAAAAUAUUGCCUCUGACAUUAGGGAACUGGCAUUCCCCUCCUCCACUGUUUGAAAAGGUCAGAACUGGUCCUUCAAGCCAAAUAAGUUACUGCUUUUGAGGUGAAGCUGGUAAGACAGAUCUGGGGCCUGCAGGCAAAGUGGGU
rnacentral:lncRNA from 10 species